rnacentral:rRNA from 1 species
GAUGAACGCUGGCGGCGUGCCUAAUACAUGCAAGUCGAGCGAACAGACGAGGAGCUUGCUCCUCUGACGUUAGCGGCGGACGGGUGAGUAACACGUGGAUAACCUACCUAUAAGACUGGGAUAACUUCGGGAAACCGGAGCUAAUACCGGAUAAUAUAUUGAACCGCAUGGUUCAAUAGUGAAAGACGGUUUUGCUGUCACUUAUAGAUGGAUCCGCGCCGCAUUAGCUAGUUGGUAAGGUAACGGCUUACCAAGGCAACGAUGCGUAGCCGACCUGAGAGGGUGAUCGGCCACACUGGAACUGAGACACGGUCCAGACGCCUACGGGAGGCAGCAGUAGGGAAUCUUCCGCAAUGGGCGAAAGCCUGACGGAGCAACGCCGCGUGAGUGAUGAAGGUCUUCGGAUCGUAAAACUCUGUUAUUAGGGAAGAACAAAUGUGUAAGUAACUAUGCACGUCGUGACGGUACCUAAUCAGAAAGCCACGGCUAACUACGUG